rnacentral:ncRNA from 1 species
AUAUGGCAAACUAAUUGAAAGGUUAGGACGCAAAGCCAAGGGUCUAAGCUCUUUAAAUAGAGUAAGAUAGCCGGUUGCC